CUUUUCCGUUUUCUCUGAUCUCGGUGGCAGGGAUUUUCAGCAAAUGCCCUAACCCUCUCUGUAGGGGGCUCACGUUCACCAUUUCCAGGGUGAGUUCAUCUCUGUGUAACUCGUCCUUACCUGGAGUGACUGGGUGUGUGAUCUAUUCUCACCAUUCCUGGGGUGAUCUCAUCGAUGUGUGAUGCAUCUUCACCAUUCCUGGAGUAACCUCAUCCAUGUGAGAUACAUCCUUAUCAUUUCUGGGGUAACCUCAUCUAUAUGUGAUCUACCCUCCAUUCCUGGGGUGACCUCAUCUGUGUGGCACACAAUGUGAUUAUAAAAAGACAAAGAGGCAUGACUUCCUCACCUCAUCUAUGUGUGAUCCAUCCUUGACAUUCCUGGGGUGACUGGGUGUGUGAAGGUCUAACUCCACCUCCACCCCACCCCCACUCCAGACCUCUUGGACCAGCCAGCCAUAUUAUCAGGGGACGUAAUUAAUGACAUUUGACCUUGCAUCCCAGUUGGAAAGCAUUCAUGCCUUACCUUCAUCCUUCAUCAAACAGCUCAAGCCAGUUGCUACUAGAGUUGAGGGUCCCUAGGGUGGAGUAGACAUCGUUCUCUUUUUAUGCUUUUAAAUAUUGGUAAGUGCCCUGAACUAGUCUUAGGUCAACUUGACACAAGCUAGAGUCAUCUGAAAGGAGGGAAUUUCUAUUGAGGAAAUGCCUCCAUGAGAUCCAGCUAUAGGGGAUUUCCUUAGUUAGUGAUCAGUGGGGGAGGGCCCAGCCCACUGUGUUCUAACCCUGGGCUGAUGGUCCUGAGUUCUAUAAGAAAGCAAGGUGAGCAAGCCAUGAUGAGCAAGCCAGCAAGCAGCACCCCUCCAUGGCCUCUGCAUCAGCUCCUGCCUCUGGGUUCCUGCCCUGUUUGAGUUCCUGUCCUGACUUUCUUCGAUGAUGAACAGUGAUGUGGAAGAUUCUUCAGCCAGGAAAAAAUAGCAGCGAAGGAGAGAGAGAGAAAUCCUUCCCUGGUGAGCUGGAUUCCUUGAAGUUGCAGACUAUGAAAAGCGGGAUGCAGUUAUGUGAACUCCCAGCAUCCUGGUCCAUAUGCCUGCCUGCUUGCUGUCUCUUCCGUGCCUUUAUGGGUGCUAACCCUCUGGGACCACAAGACAACAUAACAACAAGACCGUCUUCCUUAAGAUGCCUUGGUCAUGGUGUGUCUUAUCGCAGCGGCAGAAAAGUACUGAAUACAAGGGACAACCCGACUGUGUGUUUGCGCCAAGCGAUCUCGUAGACACGGGCCAGUCUAUGGACUAACUGCCCUUGUGCAUCUAUACCUAUCACUGUCAGAGCACAGAAGAACGAGCCGCGGUGAACAGUGAAUGUCUUGGGGAACUGUGGGAAAGGCUCCAGGAGAAAAGGCAGAGGGCCUUUUAUCUCAGGGGUGUCUUGUUUCCUGGAUUGUUCUUGGACGUGAUUUUGUGCUUCCUGUGUUAAACAUUGACGUUCAAGCCGUAAGGCAUGUUUAUUCUUGUUGGAUGUCUGGACAUAGCUAUAGAACCCAAUCUGGUCAGUGUACCCUGAAUGUGGAUGUGGCCUUCUGCCUUGCUUUUGUGCUUUCCCAGGUAGAGUCUACAGUACUUUCCAGGUAAUUGUGUUUAAACUGGUCUGACCUGAGAAAGUUCUGGGAAAGAGCUGCCCUGUUAAUAGUAUGAGCUUACUGGUGCUAAUUUGCAUAUUUUUCUGAUCACUUUUUUUUUUUUCAAAACUCAAACAGCCUUCCUUGGAUCAUUCCUUUCUUUGUUACAUUGUGUAUAAAAGGACACAGAAACUGAAGUAAGGUUGUCUACAGCAUCACACUCUAGUCCGCCCGUUCUUUCAGGUCUUCAGCGUCAGGUCCAGCAGACAAGAUCUGCACAGGUUGAUGCAAACUGACACAGGAUUACCUCUCUUCUGUUUAUUUUGGUUUUAUUGUUUGAGAUCCAGUCUCCCGUGGUCCAGGCUGGCCUUGAACUAGAUAUACAGCUAAGAUGAUCCUCCUGCCUCCACCUCCCAAGAGCUGGGAUUGCAGGUGUGCGCCUCUAUUCCUGGUUUAUGCAGCACUGGGGCGUCAAUCCAGGACAACAUGCUUGCUAGGCAACAUGCAUGCUAGGCAAGAACUAUACCGACUGAGCUACACCCCAGCCCUCUGUAUCCAUUUUUUUUAAAAAACCAUCUGGAGAAACAAGUUGGGGGAAUAAAUUACAUAGGAAUUUGG
rnacentral:lncRNA from 1 species